GACGAACGCUGGCGGCGUGCUUAACACAUGCAAGUCGAACGGUAAGGCCUUCGGGUACACGAGUGGCGAACGGGUGAGUAACACGUGGGUGAUCUGCCCCAUACUCUGGGAUAAGCCUGGGAAACUGGGUCUAAUACCGGAUAUGACCAACUUCUGCAUGGUUGUUGGUGGAAAGUUUUUUCGGUAGGGGAUGAGCCCGCGGCCUAUCAGCUUGUUGGUGGGGUAAUGGCCUACCAAGGCGACGACGGGUAGCCGGCCUGAGAGGGCGACCGGCCACACUGGGACUGAGACACGGCCCAGACUCCUACGGGAGGCAGCAGUGGGGAAUAUUGCACAAUGGGCGAAAGCCUGAUGCAGCGACGCCGCGUGGGGGAUGACGGCCUUCGGGUUGUAAACCCCUUUCAGUCGGGACGAAGCGAGAGUGACGGUACCGAUAGAAGAAGCACCGGCCAACUACGUGCCAGCCGCCGCCGUAAUAC
rnacentral:rRNA from 1 species